UAACCAGUGAUGUGAUGAUUCUG
rnacentral:piRNA from 1 species